rnacentral:rRNA from 1 species
AGCCAGACUCCUACGGGAGGCAGCAGUGGGGAAUAUUGUACAAUGGGGGGAACCCUGAUGCAGCAACGCCGCGUGGGUGAAGAAGUACUUCGGUAUGUAAAGCCCUGUCAGCAGGGAAGAAAAUGACGGUACCUGACCAAGAAGCCCCGGCUAACUACGUGCCAGCAGCCGCGGUAAUACGUAGGGGGCAAGCGUUAUCCGGAUUUACUGGGCGUAAAGAGAGCGUAGGCGGCACUACAAGUCUCAUGUGAAAUACCCGGGCUUAACUUGGGGGUUGCAUGGGAAACUGUAGAGCUUGAGUACAGGAGAGGCAAGCGGAAUUCCUAGUGUAGCGGUGAAAUGCAUAGAUAUUAGGAGGAACACCGGUGGCGAAGGCGGCUUGCUGGACUGAAACUGACGCUGAGGCUCGAAAGCGUGGGGAGCAAACAGGAUUAGAUACCCGCGUA